rnacentral:rRNA from 1 species
UACGUAGGGGGCAAGCGUUGUCCGGAUUUAUUGGGCGUAAAGAGCGUGUAGGCGGCCAGGGAGGUCCGUUGUGAAAACUCGAGGCUCAACCUCGAGACGCCGAUGGAAACCCCCUGGCUAGAGUCCGGAAGAGGAGAGUGGAAUUCCUGGUGUAGCGGUGAAAUGCGCAGAUAUCAGGAAGAACACCCGUGGCUAAGGCGGCUCUCUAGUACGGUACUGACGCUGAGGUGCGAAAGCGUGGGGAGCGAACAGG